rnacentral:lncRNA from 1 species
AAAAGCUGGUUCAUUUAGCAAAUCGCAACCUUGCCAAGUCCACAUUGGCCAUGAUUUUAUCUUGGCUCUUUCCAGGGUGAACAGGGAGAAUCAGGAGACGAUGGUGCCUCGGGGAUUCCUGGGGAGAAAGGAGAAAAGGGGGCCAAGGGAGUGCCUGGCUUGGGAGGCUUCAAAGGACAAAUGGGAUGGCCUGGGAAGACUGGAGCUGUGGGACCAGAUGGACCUCAAGGGCCACAGGGUGAACCAGGGCCACAGGGUCCACGAGGGAAAAGAGGGAGAACUCAGCUCUGCCUCAGGGGACCCCCAGGCGCGGACGGGCAAAAAGGAGAAAUGGUCAGUAUGGGGCUGAGCCAGUCUCACUUCCCAGUGAGGUUCCUCACCGCUCUGCAGCAGCACAGAGCUCUGC